rnacentral:rRNA from 1 species
AUUGAACGCUGGCGGCAUGCUUUACACAUGCAAGUCGAACGGCAGCGGGGGCUUCGGCCUGCCGGCGAGUGGCGAACGGGUGAGUAAUGCAUCGGAACGUGCCCAUGUCGUGGGGGAUAACGUAGCGAAAGCUACGCUAAUACCGCAUACGCCCUGAGGGGGAAAGCGGGGGAUUCUUCGGAACCUCGCGCGAUUGGAGCGGCCGAUGUCGGAUUAGCUAGUAGGUGAGGUAAAGGCUCACCUAGGCGACGAUCCGUAGCGGGUCUGAGAGGAUGAUCCGCCACACUGGGACUGAGACACGGCCCAGACUCCUACGGGAGGCAGCAGUGGGGAAUUUUGGACAAUGGGCGCAAGCCUGAUCCAGCCAUGCCGCGUGAGUGAAGAAGG